rnacentral:rRNA from 1 species
CUUGUACACACCGCCCGUCACGCCAUGGGAGUCGGGUUCCACCAGAAGCCGGUCGCCUAACCGCAAGGGGGCGCCGACCACGGUGAGAUUCAUGACUGGGGUG